AUGGCUCACCAUCAUUUAGCUAUUGCAUUUAUUUUUCUCAUUGCCGGUCACAUGUAUCGAACUAACUUCGGAAUUGGGCACAGUAUUAAAGAUCUUUUAGAAGCGCAUACUCCUCCGGGGGGUCAAUUAGGGCGUGGGCAUAAGGGCCUUUAUGACACAGUCAACAAUUCGAUUCAUUUUCAGUUAGGUCUUGCUCUAGCUUCUUUAGGGGUUAUUACUUCCUUAGUAGCUCAACAUAUGUACUCUUUACCUCCUUAUGCAUUCAUAGCACAAGACUUUACUACUCAAGCUGCUUUAUAUACUCAUCACCAAUAUAUUGCAGGGUUCAUCAUGACAGGGGCUUUUGCUCAUGGAGCUAUUUUUUCAUUAGGGAUUACAAUCCGGAACAGAAUGAGGAUAAUGUAUUGGCAAGAAUGUUAG
rnacentral:rRNA from 1 species